AAUAUUAACUGGCAUCACUUAAAGGAUCUACAGUAAAGUUAAAGUGCAUUAAAGAAAUUGGGACGAAAAGUAAACAAAUAUUUUUUUAAAAGUCAAAAUUUAUUCAGUUAAAAUUUCGUAAAGAAAAAAAGAAAAUUUUAUUCAAAUGAUCAGGUCUCUUUAGCGAAACAAACAUAAAAUUUCACCUCAACCUGCAAUUAGCAUUACAGCAUCUUAAAAUUCCGAACUAAGUACUUCCAGAUACACUGUUAUAUUCACUAGACUCUACAAAGCAAAGCAGUCGCCACACAAAGCCCUUCUUGACCCCGCCGAUAACAGCAGUCAACGUAAUGUGCUUGCAUAUUGAAUUAUAAUUUACGAAACAGUUUAGUCGUGCUCGGCUAGUGGCGCGUUGCGAGUCUCAAACGGACAGGAGACAAUUUACCAUAAUGAAGACAAGGAAUAUAGUUUUGUUACAAAAUGUUUUGCUUCUCCAGGCGCUAUUUUUAUCAGCGUCUGUACGUGCAUAUUCUGUUGACUCAGCGGGCUCUUGUAGUAGCAAUUCGGUGAAAUCUGACUCGCGUGCAUUUUUCGAGCGUGAAAAUGAACUACUACGCCAGCGUCGUCGUAAUGAGUUCCUCACCUCAUAUGCAUACAACACUAAUGUAACAGAGGAAAAUCGCAAAGCAAUGAUUGCUGUGGCUACAACAAAUGCAGCCGCAAACAAGGAGAUGACACGCAAUAUAAUUGCAUCGGGAUAUAUUGACUCAAGCGAUGAGGAUAUUAAACGACAAGCAACUAUACUUGGUGAUUUGGGUAUAGAUGUGCUACCCGAAAGUGAUUAUAAGGAAUUACUCAAUGCAGUCAGUUUAAUGCAGUCAAAUUAUGCAACUACAACUGUUUGCCCAUACAACAAGGAGGAGGAUUGUACACUGCAAUUGGAGCCACAUAUACAGGAGCGUCUUUCGAAUAGUCGUGAUCCAAAAGAGUUGAAACAUUACUGGCGUCAAUGGUAUGACAAAGCAGGCACACCGAUGCGUGAGAAUUUUAAAAAAUAUAUAGAGUUGACCCGCAAGGCAGCUCGUCUGAAUGGUUAUUCAUCAUAUGCUGACUACUGGAUCCAUUUCUAUGAAGACCCCGAUUUCGAAACAAACCUGGAUAAGGUGUAUAAAGCUAUAUUGCCAUUCUAUCGUGAAAUACACGGUUAUGUUCGUUAUCGACUCCGUGCGUAUUAUGGUGAUGAAAUUGUGUCUGAAAAUGGAAAUAUCCCAAUGCAUUUGUUGGGCAACAUGUGGGCACAACAAUGGGACAAUGCGUUGCCACUUUUCACGCCUUAUCCAGAAAAACCGUUCUUGGACGUGACCAGCGAAAUGCAGCGCCAAAACUACACAGUACGCAAACUCUUCGAGUUAGGUGAUCAAUUUUUCAAAUCACUGGGCAUGCGCGCGCUACCGCCAAGCUUUUGGGACUUGAGCGUGUUAACACGGCCAGCAGACAGAGAAAUAGUUUGUCAUGCUUCUGCCUGGGACUUGUACCAGGAUAGUGAUGUGCGCAUUAAAAUGUGCACUGACGUCGACACUCACUAUCUGUACGUUGUACAUCACGAGCUUGGUCACAUACAGUACUACUUACAAUAUGAAAAUCAACCCACCGUUUAUCGCUCAGCGCCAAAUCCCGGCUUCCAUGAGGCUGUGGGUGAUGUCAUUGCACUUUCGGUAUCCACGCCCAAGCAUCUGCAAGCCAUCGGUCUCUCGAACGUGAGCAAAUUGGAUGAUGAAAGUCGUAUCAAUGAAUUGUUUAAGAAUGCACUCAAAAAAAUCGUGUUCUUACCUUUUGCCUACACUAUGGAUAAAUAUCGUUAUGCUGUGUUUCGGGGUGAGGUGGAAGAAUCGAAAUGGAAUUGUGCCUUCUGGCAAAUGCGUUCCGAGUUUUCCGGCGUUGAGCCACCCGUACGUCGCACUGACCAAGAUUUCGAUCCACCAGCCAAAUAUCACAUUGACGCUGAUGUCGAGUACUUGCGCUACUUUGCAGCUCAUAUUUUCCAAUUUCAGUUUCUUAAAGCUAUGUGCACCAAAGCUGGUCAGUAUGUGCAGGGUGACCCAGAAAAAACGUUAGACAAUUGCGAUAUUUACAACAACAAAGAAGCUGGUGAGGCGUUUGGCAAGUUUCUUUCAUUGGGCGCGUCAGUGCAUUGGAAAAAGGCGCUAAAGGAGUUCACAGGCGAAACUGAAAUGGAUCCCUCUGCGUUGUUGGAGUACUUUGAACCACUCAACAAAUGGUUGCAUGCAGAAAAUCAACGCUUGAAAGUGCCACUCGGUUGGGGCGAUACUGAUAAAGUUGCAGGUGACUGUUGUUCAGCAUUCAGCACCUAACAUUUAACGAAAGUCAGCGUUAAAGCGAAUUGUAAAAGAGCUAAUAUUUGCUUAUGACAAAUAAGAUCUCGUUUUUCUUACGAAGUAAAACCGUAGAAGGCCUUCAAUGAAUACAACAUAAACAUUUUUGAAUGAAAUCGAAAUUUUUUUUUAACAAAUUGCACUUUUUAAUACAAAUUAGGCAAUGUUUUAUAAUCUUGAAAAGCUGUAUAAACAUUAAACAAAACAAUUCAACCUUAAUCUCAUAAGGAAGUAUUAAUAAAUACGUUCGUUUGCACUGUAUAUGGCACAAUUAUUAUUUUUCAAACUAAUAAGGAAAAGAAAAUAGUUGAAAAAGGUUUAAAAAGGUAUUAAAAUCUACACCCAAUUUGUGCUACUUGAUUUUAGUCUGAUAUACUUGCACUGGCUCUUAUAACAGGAUUGUGCUUUGUGGAUGACUGCAGCCGGUAUACCUGAAAAAGCAGUUAACAACCCUGAGUUCACAUUUUUGAGAAAAAUUACUUUCCUAAACUUCCAUCCACAAAGUAAAACUGUGUAAGCUAAUAUUUACUUGGCAAAAUCUGGCAUUCACACUCAACAUAAAAAUUGUUUGUGUUAAAUAAAUAACAAAUAAAAGUAUGUAUAUAUUGAAAAAGAAAACUAUUUCUGGCUAACUGAGGGAGUAAACGAUUUCUAAUAGAAAUUUGCAACCCAUUUCGUUCUAAGUAGGAAUACUUGCGUCGGCUUUAUCAAUACUCAAGCUCAUUGUUAUGCCUAUCUCAAUCGGGUUCUCCUUUCUUUUCGAUAUCUCACGCAUAUUUGGCUCUGGCAUUGUUGGCGAUAAUGACGAUGAGCACUCGCAUUGGCGACGACUUGCUCAAUAUCUCAAUUUGUUGAUGUUUACGCUCAUUUUUCUAACCACUUUAGUGCUAAUACGUAUUGAUGACUAUGCCACUGCGGUUGAAUAAUUUACAAACGUUGAUCUUGCAGCGCUUAGCCGGUAUAAAAGCCAGUCAGCGGCUGCUCGGCAAAUUAGUUUACGUGCCGCGCUCUUCAAGCGCGCGAGUUUCUUGCUAUAAGUUGGUGAUUUUGAAAAGUGGGUGAGCAUUCGCCAUUGUUUUCAAAUAUAAUUUGUGUUGACCAAAUUAUUAGUAAAAUUUAAGAUUAUUUAAA